rnacentral:rRNA from 1 species
AUGGGCUGCUUCCUCUUUGGAGCGGCCAGAUCUGGAUCAUGGUGUUGGGGUGCUUGGAGGGGGUCGGUCUGGGAUGGGGCCUCGGAGUGGUGCUCGUUGCGGUGGCUGGAGCGGCCGGCUUCGCGCGAGCUGCUCGUCUCUUCGGAGAUGGGUGAGCGUGGCUCUUUGGAUCUGGGGCGGCGGCCCUUCCGGCGAGAUUUCAUUGGCUUGACCAGUGCUCGUUGGUGCUGGCCGUUCUUCCUCGGCCGCGGGGGCGGCAAGGCGGCGGCAGGUGGCGGCUGUGGUGCAGGCGUCUCGGCGGCGCCCGAUCCAGAUCUGAAGGCCUCCGUCUACUUCAACCAGGGCUGCCUCCGAUGGUCCUGCUUUGCGCGGCCUUUGUCGUCGGAGUUGUACCUGUUUGGCGGCUGGAGGUGGGAGUUGGCUCCGGAGAAAUCCGAGACCAGCAGUGCUGGUCACGACGGCGGCGACGCCCGAGGGCGCCGUACCCUUCUUGUAGGCGCCGUCCAGGUUGCCUCCUUCCCCUCUUCCUUGCACCCAGCUCGUAUGCCGGGCGAAAGCCCAAAUCCUUGCCGGAUCGAGCGACAGCGGCGCUCCGGGCGUCGUUACCUUCUUGGGGGUGUCGUUCGUGGUGAGUUUGGAGUGGAUGUGAUGCUUUGGUUGCUUGGCGGCGGAUUGGUCUUCAACAGCCCUGCCGGUCUCGGCGGAGCGGUGCUUCAUCCUACUCAUUGA